rnacentral:rRNA from 1 species
GACGAACGCUGGCGGCGUGCUUAACACAUGCAAGUCGAACGAUGAACCCGGAGCUUGCUCCGGUGGAUUAGUGGCGAACGGGUGAGUAACACGUGAGUAACCUGCCCUUGACUCUGGGAUAACUGCGGGAAACUGUAGCUAAUACCGGAUACGACCCUCGGCGGCAUCGCCAGGGGGUGGAAAGAAUUUCGGUCAAGGAUGGACUCGCGGCCUAUCAGCUAGUUGGUGGGGUAACGGCUCACCAAGGCGACGACGGGUAGCCGGCCUGAGAGGGUAACCGGCCACACUGGGACUGAGACACGGCCCAGACUCCUACGGGAGGCAGCAGUGGGGAAUAUUGCACAAUGGGCGCAAGCCUGAUGCAGCAACGCCGCAUGAGGGAUGACGGCCUUCGGGUUGUAGACCUCUUUUAGUAGGGAAGAAGCGAAAGUGACGGCACCUGCAGAAAAAGCACCGGCUAACUACGUGCCAGCAGCCGCAGUAA